UCUUAAUGGCAUCCUCCCUUGCAAUGUCCAUAUGUUAACUAGCAACUCUGCAGAAGUUCUUUCGAACUUAUAUCCAGAUGAUGUCCCUCCCACUUUGGCAAUACUGGAUUCCGAAAUUGCAAAAUGGAAGGCUAAAUGGGCAAAUAUGUCACCAGUUCCUUGGAGUGCACUAGAUGCUCUAAAUAACUGCAACAAGCAUUUCUUUCCCAACAUUUUUAAACUUCUGCGUAUUUUUGCAACACUGCCAGUGACUACAGCUCAUGUGGAAAGAAGCUUCUCCUGACUCUCCAGAAUUAAAACAAAUGCAAGGAGUACAAUGGCAGAAUCAAGACUGAAUGGACUGACUUUGCUGUCUGAACAUAGAGACAUUAAAAUAUCCCCUGAUCAAGUAAUUGACAAGUUUGCAACAAAAAAACAGACGACUGGACCUGGUGAUCUAAACAACAAGGAUCCAAGCCAUACAAGAUGCUGGAAGAAAUCAUGACAAAAAAAAUCUUGAUUAAGACCCUCCGAAAUUGUCACCUGCUCAUCAGACAUACACACUGGAGGUUUUUCUUACCUUUGUGAACCACUUUGCCUCAAAACAACAACACUAUUUCUAUGGGGCUAUGCAAACCAGAAUGUUUCUAGCGGCUCUCCAUUUCAACGAGAAUGGUGAUCUUGAACAAUGAAGAUCCAAAACCGGUGAGCUGCGAUGGACAGUGUGCUAUCGCAAAGCAAAGAAAAGAGAGACUGCAGUUGCAAAAGCAGUCAAGAAAGAUCUUUCAUAAGGAUGGAGAUGGAGAUUAGAUAAAGGGGCAUUCAGAACAGAAAAUAGGAGGCACUUUUUUACACAGAGAAUUGUGGGAGUCUGGAACCAACUCCCCAGUAAUGUUGUUGAAGCUGACACCCUGGGAUCCUUCAAGAAGCUGCUUAAUGAGAUUCUGGGAUAAAUAAGCUACUAACAACCAAACAAGCAAGAUGGGCCGAAUGGCCUCCUCUCAUUUGUAAACGUUCUUAUGUUCUUAACUUCACUUUCAACAAUAAAACGGUAAUGUUUAGAAACACAAAAAAGAAAAAAAGAAAGGAAAACAAUAGAUUGCAGUGUAACCAGGCUUCCCUUCACACCAGGAAAUCACACAACAGCAUGCCAGUGCACUCUCUGUAUCCUCUUUGAGAGGAGUGGAAUGCAACCUGUAUCUGCUUCCAGUAAUUAGCUGGCAUUGGUCUCACCUGGUCUUCAUGUGAUUGAAUUAAUUCUCGUUACAGAGUCAACCUCCUACAUUCGUAAUAAACAUGAGAUGUGGCAAGUCUAG